AUUUAGCAAAUCUAAAGGAUGGGAGAGGCAUCCUUGCUGUGCGGGGUUCGCACAGCAAGAUAUAGCGGACAGCGGGACAAAUC
rnacentral:sRNA from 1 species